AGCAGCCGCGGUAAUUCCAGCUCCAAUAGCGUAUAUUAAAGUUGUUGCAGUUAAAAAGCUCGUAGUUGAAUUUCGGGGUUAGUAGGUUGGUCAUGCCUCUGGUAUGUACUGGUCUCACUGAUUCCUCCUUCCUGAUGAGCCGUAAUGCCAUUAAUUUGGUGUUGCGAGGAAUUUGGACUGUUACUUUGAAAAAUUAGAGUGUUUAAAGCAGGCUUUAGCUUGAAUACAUUAGCAUGGAAUAAUGAAAUAGGACGUUUGAUCCUACUUUGUUGGUUUCUAGGAUUGACGUAAUGAUUAAUAGGGAUAGUUGGGGGCAUUAGUAUUCAAUUGUCAGAGGUGAAAUUCUUGGAUUUAUUGAAGACUAACUACUGCGAAAGCAUUUGCCAAGGAUGUUUUCAUUAAUCAAGAACGAAAGUUAGGGGAUCGAAGACGAUCAGAUACCGUCGUAGUCUUAACCAUAAACUAUGCCGACUAGGAAUCAGACGAUGUUAAUUUUUAAUGUACUCGUUUGGCUAACCG
rnacentral:rRNA from 1 species